rnacentral:rRNA from 1 species
CCUACGGGGCGCAGCAGUGAGGAAUAUUGGUCAAUGGGCGCGAGCCUGAACCAGCCAAGUAGCGUGAAGGAUGACUGCCCUACGGGUUGUAAACUUCUUUUAUAAAGGAAUAAAGUGAGGCACGUGUGCCUUUUUGUAUGUACUUUAUGAAUAAGGAUCGGCUAACUCCGUGCCAGCAGCCGCGGUAAUACGGAGGAUCCGAGCGUUAUCCGGAUUUAUUGGGUUUAAAGGGAGCGUAGGUGGGUUGUUAAGUCAGUGGUGAAAGUUUGCGGCUCAACCGUAAAAUUGCAAUUGAUACUGGCAGUCUUGAGUGCAGUUGAGGUAGGCGGAAUGCGUGGUGUAGCGGUGAAAUGCUUAGAGAUCACGAAGAACUCCGAUUGCGAAGGCAGCUUACUAAUCUGCCACUGACAUUGAUGCACGAAAGUGUGGGUAGCAAACAGGAUUAGAUACCCGUGUAGUC